rnacentral:rRNA from 1 species
UCGAACGGCAGCACAGCAGAGCUUGCUCUGUGGGUGGCGAGUGGCGGACGGGUGAGUAAUGCAUCGGGACCUACCUGAACGUGGGGGAUAACGUAGGGAAACUUACGCUAAUACCGCAUACGUCCUACGGGAGAAAGCGGGGGACCUUCGGGCCUCGCGCGGUCAGACGGACCGAUGUUCGAUUAGCUAGUUGGUAAGGUAAUGGCUUACCAAGGCGACGAUCGAUAGCUGGUCUGAGAGGAUGAUCAGCCACACUGGAACUGAGACACGGUCCAGACUCCUACGGGAGGCAGCAGUGGGGAAAUAUUGGACAUGGGCGCAAGCCUGAUCCAGGCAUGCCGCGUGUGUGAGGAAGCCCUCGGGUUGUAAGCACUUUAUCGGGAGCGAAAUACACGGGUUAUANCCCGGUGGGCUGAACGUACCCAGGAAUAACACCCGGUACUUCGUGCC